AGNGUCGUCCAGGUAACCCAGUAAGCACUCCGCCUGGGUAGUNCGGUCGCAAGGCUGAAACUCAAAGGAAUUGAUCGGGGACUCGCACAAGCAGUGGAGCAUGUGGUUUAAUCCGAUACAACGCGUAGAACCUUACCAAGGCUNGACAUGUUUGGCAAAACUAGGGAAACCUAGCGGAGGUUAUCCGAACACAGGUGCUGCAUGGCCGUCGUCAGUUCGUGCCGUGAGGUGUAUGGUUAAGUCCUAUAACGAACGCAACCCUUAUACUUAGUUACCAGCAUUCAGUUGGGGACUCUAAGUAGACUGCCUGAGUAAUCAGGAGGAAGGAAAGGACGACGUCUGGUCGUCAUGGCCCUUAUGCCUUGGGCGACACACGUGCUACAAUGGUUAGUACAAAGCGUUGCCAACCCGUGAGGGGGAGCCAAUCGCAAAAAACUAACCUCAGUUCGGAUUGGAGGCUGAAACCCGCCUCCAUGAAGUCGGAAUUGCUAGUAAUCGCAAAUCAGCCAUGUUGCGGUGAAUACGUUCUCGAGUCUUGUACACACCGCCCGUCAAGUCACGAAAGUCGGUAAUACCUGAAACCAGUUCCCGCAAGGGAAACUCCUGCAAAGGAGAGAAGGCUGAUCAAGGGUAGGAUUGGCAAUUGGGGCUAAGUCGUAAUAAGGUACC
rnacentral:rRNA from 1 species